rnacentral:rRNA from 1 species
GAUGAACGCUGGCGGCGUGCCUAAUACAUGCAAGUCGAGCGAACAGACGAGGAGCUUGCUCCUCUGACGUUAGCGGCGGACGGGCGAGUAACACGUGGAUAACCUACCUCUAAGACUGGGAUAACUUCGGGAAACCGGAGCUAAUACCGGAUAAUAUAUUCAACCGCAUGGUUCAAUAGUGAAAGACGGUUUUGCUGUCACUUAUAGAUGGUUCCGCGCCGCAUUAGCUAGUUGGUAAGGUAACGGCUUACCAAGGCAACGAUGCGUAGCCGACCUGAGAGGGUGAUCGGCCACACUGGAACUGAGACACGGUCCAGACUCCUACGGGAGGCAGCAGUAGGGAAUCUUCCGCAAUGGGCGAAAGCCUGACGGAGCAACGCCGCGUGAGUGAUGAAGGUCUUCGGAUCGUAAAACUCUGUUAUUAGGGAAGAACAAAUGUGUAAGUAACUAUGCACGUCUUGACGGUACCUAAACAGAAAGCCACGGCUAACUACGUG